GACGAACGCUGGCGGCGUGCUUAACACAUGCAAGUCGAACGGCAGGGCCCUGCUUUUGUGGGGUGCUCGAGUGGCGAACGGGUGAGUAACACGUGAGUAACCUGCCCUUGACUUUGGGAUAACUUCAGGAAACUGGGGCUAAUACCGGAUAGGAGCUCCUGCUGCCUGGUGGGGGUUGGAAAGUUUCGGCGGUUGGGGAUGGACUCGCGGGUUAUCAGCUUGUUGGUGGGGUAGUGGCUUACCAAGGCUUUGACGGGUAGCCGGCCUGAGAGGGUGACCGGCCACAUUGGGACUGAGAUACGGCCCAGACUCCUACGGGAGGCAGCAGUGGGGAAUAUUGCACAAUGGGCGGAAGCCUGGUGCAGCAACGCCGCGUGCGGGAUGACGGCCUUCGUGUUGUAAACCGCUUUCGCCUGUGACGAAGCGUGAGUGACGGUAAUGGGUAAAGAAGCACCGGCUAACUACGUG
rnacentral:rRNA from 1 species